UUCAGUAGGAGCUCUACAAAUGUUCAGAGCCAGUCCCUGGUGUAAACAGCCUUGCCAGUGUUGGAGACUUCUGCCUGGAUUCUGUGGCAUCUCAUUACCACACCAAUCUGGUAACGGCUUGUUCCCUAGCCUCCCCAUCACACACAUGUGCGCGUGUGCGCACCCACACACACACCCUGCUUUCAACUGUCCUUUGCCCAGGUAAGGAUUAGCCCAUCCCUCUUCAUUCCCUUGAGCCUUCUGCACCUGGCCCUCCCAGUGCAACUGGUCAAUCCCAGCCCCUCCCUGACCUGUACAAAUACACCUGAGAACAGACAUUGCCUCAGACUUCCUGCCCCUGCUCUGCACUCUCAGGUAUUCCUUCUGUCAUUCCCUGCUCCUGCCCCAGAAAGAUGGACCCAGGUAAGCACCGUGGCUGGAAGGCUGGGAACUGGAAGAGGGAGGAGAGUAGUGAAAGCAGGGACUAUCAGUCAGCCAUAACUAGUGCGUGCCAAAAAUGUAUAUAUGUGUGUGUGUUUGUAUGAAGGUGGUGGUAGGGUCCACAAUGAAAACAAGCCCUUAUAUUCUGUACAUGUUACAGUUUAAGAAACAUGCUUUCACGCCUGUAAUCCCAGCACUUUUGGAGGCCAAAGAGGGUGGAUCACCUGAGGUUGGGAGUUUGAGACCAGCCUGACCAAGAUGGAGAAACUCUUAAAAAAAAAAAAAAAACUACAUAUAUUAGCCAGGCGUUGUGGCACAUGCCUGUAAUCCCAGCUACCUGCAAGACUGAGGCAGGAGAUUCGCUUAAACCUGGGAGGUGGAGGUUGCAGUGAGCAGAGAUUGUGCCAUUGCACUCUAGCCUGGUCAACAAGAGUGAAACUCCGUCUCAAAAAAAAAGAAAAAGAAACACGCUUACUCAUGUUUCUUAACAGGGUAAAUGCUUCUCCCACUGCACACUCAAGGCCCAGGGGAACUAGAGGUCAUGCUCAGGGCAAGGCCAUGGAGGUUUGGCUGGGUCAGAAUCCCUCAAAAUUAACAAAAGAUCAUCCUAGCCUUUAAGAAGUAGCAGGCGAUUCCCACCAUCGGGGCACUUCAGAACACGCAGGACCACUCAGGUGGGUGCUGCAGAAGGAGCCCAGCAGACCCACAGCUGCGCAGCCUGGUUGGCUCCCAUGUAGAUUUCCUGCAGGAGGACAACAUACAGCUGAGCCAGGGAGAUUUCCAGGUGGCAGGAGGCACGAGCAAAGGCCAAGAGCUAAGAACAGAAGGUCAUAAACAGGAGACAACAAACAGCUCUGAGAGGCUGAGCAGAGAUUGGGCCAAGAUAUGUGGGGUGGGACAGAUGGGGAGGCUGGCAGGGUCGUUGGCAUGAAGGCAGAAGCAGAAGAAACAGGUGAAUGACAGGGUUGGCCACCAUGGAGCACCUCCAGGCUGACAGAGUUGGGACAAGAACCCAUACCUCCUAACUGGCCCCACUCCACCCAGGAGGGCUCAGCCAGCCCUUGAGCACACAGGGACACACCACUGAACCUUAUAUAUUGACUUCCAAUAUGUAUCUUUGCUGAGAGAAUGAAGGAGUGAUUGUCAAGCGAGUGACCAUGUCCGAGAGGUCUUGUUGGGGUAGGGGUGUGGGCACAAAAUCCUUAUCGCCAGGGAAAAGGUAGGUUUUUUACUGCAGAACCAAAUGACCAAAGCUGCUGCUUUUUUUUCCUUUCCUUUCCCACAGGUCAAAAGGUAAGAAAGUUCCCCAAUGCUCUCCCCCUUUUCCUGCCCACUGUCAUGUUCUCCAGACUGCCAGCCUCCUUCCUAGACUCUCAGGGAACAGCCACCACUUCCCCAAAUAAAAAGAAGGGAGCAGGCUCAGGCAUCAGCCCAUGGGGGAGGGGCCGCGCACGCUCCUCCACCCCCUGCCGGCUGCAGCCUUCUUCUUGGCGUUCUCUCCUCUGUUUUCCCAUCUGUCUCUCUCCUUUCCUCUCAUCCCCUCCCUGCCCUAGCAGCCUGUCCUCUCUCCUGCUGCUUCCCCGCCUGUUCUAUGCUUUUCUGCUUUCCUGGCUACCCUCACAGCCUCGCUGGAUGGCUGGCUUGCUCCCAAACCCCAACCACACUAUGGGGCCCCUAGGACCUACUUCUGCCAGGGAAGGGAAACUGCCUCUCCUCCACCUUAUCCACUGGCUACCACCAGCAGACUCAGUUCCUGGGCCUGGGUCUGUGUGCCAACCCCCAAAUAAAAGAGCCAUAAGUGGAAAGGUAGGUGUGGUGGGAAGUGGCUGUUUCCAGGCAUCACUGAGCCUGAAUGGGGCAGGGCCUACUCUACCAUGGUCACAGGAAAGCGCGAAGCCCUGGAGCCUGCCUCUUCCUCACUGGUACCGAGCCCUAAUCAAACCCUAGGAGGCAGAGGCAGACUGGGGAGUUAUCCAGCCCCAACAGUGGGAGCAUAGCCCUUCCCUGCUCCACAGGGUCCCAGGCCCCGAGUCCCCUACCGUAGAAGCAAGGUGGUGUCUCUUGUUCCUGCUCCCCCUAGCCGCCACCGGGCUUGUGGCAAGAGGCAAAUAAACUCCUCUGGUCCUGGAGCUUCAGGAAUGAUUCCCCCCAAGAUAGAAGGUCAAAGCACACUUUUUCCAGGCCUCCUCUGGCUGAGGCAGAAAAGCUUUGACUUUACUUUGUAUUCUUCCUGAUUUCUUGGGUCUGGCAUUUGCUCAGGAACAGGUAUGAGCUCACACAUACUCAUGUACACAGAACCAUGCACUCCAUGCACAUAUCUGUACACAUAGCAGGCUUGUAUAUGAACCCACCCACGCACAUGUACACAAACAUAGCUAUUUCAUGUAAAUGCAGCACACACCCUGUACACACACAGACACACAACCUAUAAAAAGAAUACAUACAUCCUCACCUUGCUAUUCCUACCCUCUGUCUCCUCUCAUCCUCCGACUGUCCACCUUCUCCUUCUCCUUCUCAGCUCUUGCAUCUCCCCUGACCCAGCCUCCUGUGUCCUUUUGUCCCUGGCCUUCAAAGAGUUCUUACAUAGCCUCCUCCAGCCUCACCCUUGCUAAGUGCAAUGAGCCUGCGGUCCUAGCAUGUCAAAGCCUCUAAUCACUCUGCAAGGGUUCCUGGUGAGAAAAAGAAGAAGAUGAAAUAAUUCUGCUUCUUAGUGGCAAAUAAAACAAAUCGAGGUCCAAGGAGUGGGAGUCAUAUCUCAGCUCAAAGAAUAGAAACCAAUAAAUCUAGGUUGCUCCCCUUUUAUCUGCUCAGUGCUCUGGCCUCACCAAGAUAUAAGGCACAGGGCUAGAAGCAGUCAUUUGCUAUCUGUGCCCCCAGCCCUCCACCAUAACCCCUUGCUUGCCUAGGAAUCCUGAGUCCCCCAGGAAAGUAGGGAGAUGGAGAGUUGAUCUCAGGUAAGCUUAGCCAUGACCUCUGACUCUGACGUUGUUCAUUUGACUUUUCACAGGGGCACUGCCAUGGGGGACAUGGCCAUGGCCAUCCUCCAGGUCACUGUGGGCCCCCCCCUGGCCAUGGCCCAGGUCCUUGCGGACCACCCACUGGCCAUGGCCCAGGGCCUUGCGGGCCUCCCCCUGGCCAUGGCCCAGGGCCUUGCGGGCCACCCCCUGGCCAUGGCCCAGGGCCUUGCGGGCCUCCCCCUGGCCAUGGCCCAGGGCCUUGCGGGCCACCCCCUGGCCAUGGCCCAGGGCCUUGCGGGCCUCCCCCUGGCCAUGGCCCAGGGCACCCACACCCUGGUCCACAUCACUGAGGAAGUAGAAGAAAACAGGACACAAGACGGCAAGCCUGAGAGAACUGCCCAGCUGACCUGGAAGGAGACCUGUUUUCUUUUCCUAAUAAACAGCCUCCUAGAGGCCAUGUUCUAUUCUU